CGGUCUACGGCACUAUUUCGUGGAUCAGAGUGCGAUCCAACGGCAUAGGUUGAUCCCGAUAAUGAUCCAAUGGUGCAGGGCCUUAUUUGGUUGAUCUUAGGACUCCUAAUCACUAUCUAACACGGGCUUUAAGCCUUUUUAAGGCUGAUCUGGGAACAGAGAGUAGGGAGGUUCGACUGGUGGUCCUGUGCAGUGCGGACGGGCUUCAACAGUGAAGAGCCCGAGUCCGUGAAGAGAGAGAGAGAGACUGUGACACUGUGGAGUGAAGGAGCAAGAGGCUCUUGGACAGUAGACAGCAGUCACUUCAGGGGUUCAGGAGGGUCUUCUAAGAGAGAGAGCUUUUGUGAGGGGAACUUUCUGUGAGAGAGAGAUUGGGUGUAUGAGGGUUGAGGGUGAGAUCUCCUCUUGUAAAAUUUUUUUUCAUAGUGAAGUUUGCAUGCCCCGUGGAGGCGAGUCCUUUUGUGGCUGAUUCACGUAUUUUGAUUGUUUUUGUUUUGUUUCUUCUUUUUUUCUGUUGCAUCGCGCAGUACCGAAAAGGUUUUGAGAGGUGGUGUCCUGGCCAGACAUCCAUCCAACACUUAUCGUUGGAGAUCAUAGUGGAUCGAUUGUAAUUUUAAGCUUAAGCUGAGAAUUGGCACUUCAGGAGUUGUUAUAAAUUUACUCAUGCUAACAAAACUCGAAGUAUUCAUUUCUUGGGGAGAUUAACAUUAAAGUUCGACGAUCAUUUUGGUGAUAUAUUAAAUGCAAGUGUUGUUAGUUGUCCUGCCUUUGCAGAAGCCCUACCAAGUUUAUGCAGUCUCCUGAUAGUGAGAGUGUGGGGAGGAGCUGUGUGUUGUUCAGAUGAUGCAUCAAGAUUCUUUUAUGGUGUUGGAAGUA
rnacentral:lncRNA from 1 species